rnacentral:misc_RNA from 1 species
GUGAGCUCUGCACCAUUUGAGCCAAUACACCUGUGCACCGGGGCGGGGUGGUGACCACAGCCCUGCCCCACCCUUCUCGUCUAUGCCUGUCGGAAGGAUGUACACGGAGCCGGAAGCAUUGAGCCGGAAGCAAUUA